AAAACAUGUCUAUAUGAUUGUUAUAUAAAGUCUAGCCUGCCCACUGAAUUGUUUUUUUAAGGGCCGCGGUAUACUGACCGUGCGAAGGUAGCAUAAUCAUUAGUCUUUUAAUUGAAGGCUCGUAUGAAUGGUUGGACAAAAAGUAAGCUGUCUCAAUUAUAAUAGUUGAACUUAACUUUUAAGUGAAAAGGCUUAAAUAACUUAAGGGGACGAUAAGACCCUAUAAAACUUGACAAUAACUUAAUUAAAUUAUAAAUUGUUAGUAUAACUUGAUUUUUAAUUAAGGUUUGUUGCGUUGGGGCGACGGGAAUAUAAUUAGUAACUGUUCUUAAAUAUAUUAAUAACAAAUAUAAUUGAAAAAUGAUUGAUCCUUUAUUAAAGACUAAAAGAUUAAGUUACUUUAGGGAUAACAGCGUAAUCUUCUUUGAGAGUCCUCAUCGACAAGAAGGUUUGCGACCUCGAUGUUGAAUUAAGGUAUCCUUAUAAUGCAGCAGUUAUAAAGGAAGGUCUGUUCGACCUUUAAAUCCUUACAUGAUCUGAUCU
rnacentral:rRNA from 1 species